AGGAUUGGUUCUUUGAAAGUGAACUCCACAUGUAUGCUUCUCAUUCGUGCUUGUGAUCAAAGAAACAAAAAGAAGUUUUCCCAAACCUUGGAGCUAUUAAAGAAUGAUUUCUCAACUACACGAAACAAAUUGGAAGCUUAUGCUAGGAUAGAGAAAAGGAUUAUCAUGGUGAUAAUCGAUCAAGCUGGAAGCUCAAGUUUCUAAAAGGAAAAUAUUUUUUAAUAAA